ACGUCACGUAAAGCUACGCGAGAACGUUCUCUCCGCUUAUUGGUCAGAUGUGUCUGCCGCGAGAACAGAAAAAGUAAAUAAAGGAAGAAAGUCCACGUUUCUAUGACGACAGAGGAUGGAGGUCAACACACGCCGGUUGGGCCUAGGCCUGGUUAUUUUGUAUUACGUUGCUUGCAUUUACCACUUAAACCAAGUCGUACAGUUUGAAAAUGAAGCGCGGUUACGGCUGGAAAACAAUGUAUUGAUGCAUUGGAGUCGCCGAAGACGCAUAUCCAGGCAAUACAGGAGGCAGCGUGCAUGGGUAUUAUUGAACUGUCAUAUGUUAAUCAGCCGAAGAUAUUACCGAAGAUCCAUCAGAGGAAGAGUUAGAGGGCCAGAGGGUGGCGUGUGUGAGUAGGGGUGAUCUGAGUAUUACUGCAGUGGCUUUUCCAGAUGAUGUAUUGCCUUCUCUGCUUCCCUGCCAGCAUCCAGGACACAAAAGCAGAGGCUAUCCCCCUUUUCUCUUUUUCUUUCUCAAACUAGGUCAGCAGGACUCCUUUGUCUCACUUCAACAAGCUGAGUGGUUUAUAUUUGUUUGUUGGGUGAGAACAUGCGUACAUAUACAGAAUGCGACUUUUCCCCAAUAUUUUUUAUGUAUAGCAGCCUAGCCUACACACAGACGCAAACAUAUAUACUGUAUAUAUUAAACAUUUCCCACUGGCCUAAUUACGUUUCACAUGAUGUAUCAUGGUGGAGAUGUUUAGUAUUAAAAUGAGAAGUCCAAAUUCCCACAUGUGAGUAAUCUAUCAGUGUCAGAUGUUCUGAUGUUACAGUGUAAGUACCUUUUAUUUAUCUGUCAUUUCCCAUACAAAUGCCAGAAAAUGCAGAGAUGAGCCACAAGAGCAACUCAUUUUGAAAAUGUUCCCAAGAACUCUGAGGGCAGGAGAGGAACUCCAAGGAAAGAAGGAAUCCUGGUGACAGCUGUUUUUACAAAGCCUUGUCUGAGGUGAUGCCCCUCUGGAAAAAUAGCCGCUCCAGCCUUCCUCCCCCAGAGAAAGCUGUUUACUGCAAAUGUCUGAAGCACCGGUGACUUGUGAAGCUUCAGGCCUCAGUAGCCACACAGGACUUCUUCAUCAGUGGAGGAGCCAUGUGGUGCCACAUUGCUGUAUGAAGAACAUAUUUUCCUUAUGUAAGUCAUUC